CUCUCCCUCCCACUCUCCCCAGGCUAUUGCUGUUUAUGAACCGAGCUUUUGUUUAAUUGGUUACAGCAAACAGGGAAAUAAAUAACACCAAUACUCAGUCUGUCUCUAGUGACUCCCAGAUGGCCAUGGUGAGCAAGCUUUACUCUACAAGCAGCCCUCAGGAAAAGUUUGUAAGCCUGCUAUGAGGGAAAAAGCACACAGACUUCCAGCUCCACUACAGAGGACUGCAUUUCUGCUGUACUUUAGUAAGGGGAAUGAGAGUUGCACAAGACAAUGCUCAUUAAUCAGAAUGAGAGGAAGGUGUUUGUGCCCCUGAUGAAGACCAGCAGUGCUAGCCCUGUGAGGAAUGGAACACUCAAAGACAGCGCCAGGCAUCCGAGGCAGCCCAGCAUCUACACUUCGCUUUAGGAUGAGUCUGCCCAUCUCAGGCAGCUCCUGCAGAGAUGUCCAAAGAAAUAAAAUAAGAUUGUGUCUUAGCACUUUCUCUCACACUCCCGACCAGCUCCAUCCCAACCCAAUCACUGAUCUGCAAAGCAAAAUGCUCAGCGCAGAAAGAACAGUAAACAGGCACAAAAGCUGUCCUUUUCAAGAGAGGGUAAAAUUACAAAGAACGGAACGAGGGUUCUUCGGGAAUAACACCAUUGUUGUUCCUAAUUGUGUGCGUGUGUUGUGUGCGCAUGUGGCAUAGCAAAAUAAAAACGAUGUUUAUAGAGAGCUGCCUGCUUCUUUGCUGAUGGACUGGAGGCGCUGAUCCGACAAUUAAAGCAUCGUCUCAGUAAUAGCCAUAAAUAAACAGGCAGCAUUAGAACAGACUUGCAAUAAAGAUGAUAUUAAAAGCAGAACAAAAUGAGAAGCAGCGCUGAAUGGGAAGGGGUGAAGUGUAAGUCACGUUGAUUUGUUCUUUCUUGCAGAUAAGGAAACAAUGAGAUGUCCUUACUGUGGACCCCCAGCACUCAGCAAAGCUGUUAUAAAAAAAAAGUGAAGGACAAGUCUCUAACAAGGGGUGAUGAGCUUGUAAAUAGCUUUUAAUCAGAAAGAGGGGGAAAGAAAGGGAGUAAAGAGCUGGUUAGAAGUCUUCUAUGCAAACUUGUGUAGGAAAAUAUUGAUCUGUCAAAAUCUUGGGUUCUUGCAGGCCAGGGUCAGCUCCAACCCAUCUUCCGUAAUUCAUAGAAGUUCUGAAUUGCCAGAAACGUGACACUGUCAGAAUGUCAAGUUCCCAGUUUCAAGCUGGGAUAGCUUUUCAUAUAGAAAUUGUAUAUAGCUACAAUAAGAGGAAAAAAGAUUUAAGAAAGAAAAACCAACAUAGAAACAAUACCUCGAUUACCAGCACAAAAUGCCAGCUGACCUAACACAGCUAACCAUCCACUCCCCACAAGUUACUGACCUAGGAACACUUCUGAAGUUCAAAGCCUUCUUUGUCCUUUGGAGAGAAGUUCUGACACUCCAAAAGCUCCCAAGUAGGAGAGCAGAGCAGCAUCCUCUGCUGUGAUGGAUGUGCUGCAGCAUGGACUUAUCCAUACCAAUUCCAUUAGCAGGACAUUGUCUGUCACUCAUGUGCAGCAUCAGGAUUCUCCAGCAAACACCAUCACUGCCAGCAGCUUUAGUCUGGUAGUCCCUAUGGACAGCACAUUGCACUUGCUCCAGGCCCUAUCUAUAGUACCAUCUUUAAACCCAAUGUGCCAGCAUAGAGACUUUAAAUGCCUUUGUAAAUAGCCUUUCCAGCUGAGUGUAAUUACCUUAAUUAAAACCCCACCUCAUCCUUCUGACUGGAAUGGUACAUACAAUUGCUGUGUUUAUCUUAAUGAUCUCAUUAGCAGCAGGAUCAGAAAGUCCUACAGCACCUCUGCUGAUGGGCUGAGACCUGGAUGAGUAUCAGGUGAGAAGUCACACCUCUGCCUCUGGGGAGGAGUAUGUGGGCUGAGGUUUUGGGCUGGAUGGGUGGAAGAGGUGUCUUUAUCUUCUGUUUUAUGCAAGCCUUGCUAAUUUCUGGCUCCCCUGUUCUUUCAUGGCAUUGG
ensembl:lncRNA